GGAUUGAUACUAAGCCAUUGCGAGUCAUUUGUAGGCAAUACAAGGGCAGACUGGCUCAGUAACGUCGUUAGUUCAACUCUAACCUAUGGACUGGGAAUAACCUCGGGAAAGCUGAGAAUAAUGCCCGAUAGAACACUAUAUCCUGGUAAUGGUUUUGUGUUCCAAAUUGAUUUAUCGCUCGUAGGAUUGGGACUUGCGGCCUAUCAGUUGUGUUUGGUGAGGUUAAUGGCCCACCAAUGACUAUUACAGUGUUACGGUGCUCUGAGAGGAGGUAGCCCUGGAGAUGGGUACUUGAGACACUGGACCCAGUGCCCUAUGUGGGCGCAGUCAGUGCGAGUAAAACUUUUGCAAUUGUUGCGAAAGUCACGACAAUGGUUAAUCGCGAGUUGGUUUUCUGCUAUAUAGGAACCUUUUGGUCUGGUCCUAUGAAACACCGUAUGAAUAGUAGUGGGUGGUGCAAGUUUCUGGUGUUCAGCUCGCCGUCGGUGAAAACCUAGCACCUUCAAGUUGGUCAUGGAUUGAUUAUUUGGGCCUAGAAGCAUUCCGUUAGCCGGGCUUCUGUAAGU
rnacentral:rRNA from 1 species